GACGGAGGAUGCAAGCGUUAUCCGGAAUGAUUGGGCGUAAAGCGUCCGCAGGUGGCAGUUCAAGUCUGCUGUCAAAGACCGGGGCUUAACUUCGGAAAGGCAGUGGAAACUGAACAGCUAGAGUAUGGUAGGGGCAGAGGGAAUUCCUGGUGUAGCGGUGAAAUGCGUAGAUAUUGGGAAGAACACCGGUGGCGAAAGCGCGCGACUGGACCUGAACUGACACUGAGGGACGAAAGCUAGGGGAGCGAAAGGG
rnacentral:rRNA from 1 species